rnacentral:lncRNA from 1 species
AAAUAAUCACUUUUAAUUUUUAGAUAAGUUAUAUCAAUCAGUCAUUAAAAAAUAUAUUAUUACUUACAACAUAGAGAGAGAAAAAAAAUUUGUAAUUAGAAAGUCAACUUGGGAUUUCAUUGUCUUCAAUUACGUAUGAUGAUUCCCAGAGAGCGCCGCCAGCGUGUUAAUUCUUUGAAGAAUCUGCUUUUCAAAUUUCAGAAUAAUAUUUUCAGAAAUCAUAAUAUUUAAUUGUUUCAAAAGAAUAAAAUGUACAUCAUUUUUAAUCAAUUACUUUAAUAUAAAAUUGUUAUUAACCUUUUCUUCUUUUUAUAACGAAUAACUUGAAAUUUUAACUAACAUUAAUUAAUUAAUCUGCAUGCAUGAACAGAGAUGAUCACUAAUAAAGAAGUUUUGGCCGAUUAUGCAACAACGAUUCUCCACGUAUUAAUUAAUUCAAUUCCCCUUAAUUAAUUCAUUUGCUUGCUAUUUUAAACCGUAGGAUUCCGUUGUUGCUCUUAAUGGGUACAAGGUUCUUAAAUGUAACCGUAAUUCUCACCUUCUUCUUCUUCUUCUUCUUAUCAUUAUAUAUAUUUGUUGUUGCAAUAUGUAAAUAUUUUAUUCGUUAAUAAUGAUUUUUUAUGUGGGUGGCCUUAUGACUCUAUUUGCACACAUGAACUACUUUUGUGUGUUAAUCCUACAUCAUUUCCACUGCAUGAAUUGUUUAUUAUAGCUUUUGUGGAAUCUGAAUCGUUAUUGGCAUUCGGAAAAGGAAAGGGAGAAUCUUUUCUCUAUACUUUUUUGUUUAAUAAUUUACAUAUAAAAUAUAUAGAAGCGGAGAAAAUAGGACUAAAUCCAAUUAUUGAACAGGACCUAACAAGUAUGAUGUUGGGUUAUUGGCAUGUGAUGUCAACUACAAGAAUUUAUGCUACCAUAUAUGCUAUUAGUUCGGGAAAGGAUUCCCAAUUUUGAUGAUUCAAGAACUUUCUAUUAAUAUUAUAAUUUUUAUCCAACAUUUAUAAUUAAUAAGAUAAGUGUUUGUCAUGAUCUUGCUUAGUUCUACUAUAUAUUACGGUUUGGAUGUAGUAUUCAUUUCGUAGAUAGUACAUAAUUCAUUAUCUAAUUGAUGAAUGUCACUUAAAAAUUAGAACUCAAGUUGAGAAUUGGGAUCUCAAUUAUUAUUAUCAAGAAAAAAAAAGGAGUCCACAAAAAUAACUGUCCAACUAACAAUCCAAACAUAAAUAUAAUAAAAUGAAAGAUUUUGUAAAAUUAUAGUAAUAAAAUAAUAGGAACAAUACUUUUUACAGUCAUUUAAUAUUUUAUAAUUCUUAAAGUAGUGAAACGCUAAUAACCUAAAAUAGAAACCUAAUAUUACAUGAGAACAAGUUUUUUUUUUUUUUUAAUAGUUGAAUCAUUCGAAUAUAAGAUAGAUAGAAUUAAUAUAUACUAAUGUCAUAUGGUGAUUAUAAAAUUAAAGAGAAUUUAUGAUAUUGAUUUGCCAGUGGUUGCUUUGUUUAAUUGUUCUGGAUAGCCAAUACACUCUUAAAGCCAACCAAUUUGAAAGAGAAAUGGUACCCACUACCCAGGGCAGCGCACUACUAGCGCAAAUGCUUCUUUGUUGGCAACAAUAUGAAUGAUGAAAAUGACUUUAAGGGUGGUAAAAUAUCGGCGUCGGGACAACUUUCCAAAAUCUGAGCCAGUUUUAACAUGGCUUUUGUCCGGUCAGGGUUUUUCGAGCCGGGCCAAAAAACUGAAAUUUAUGUUCUAUAUUUUUU